AUGUGUAAUGUUAAAUUUUGCUUCUGUUGCUGGAAUGUUUGGGGCCUCGGCCAAUCGCAGAAAUGCUCGAAUGUUCUCUCGGAGCUUCUCGCCAUUAAUCCUCACGCUUGCUUUCUUCAGGAAACCAAGCUCAAUGACACCCCCCUCAAACGCAAUAGCUUUCUCCCUCGACCCUUAGAUACUUCUUGCUUUCUCCCCUCUAAUGGCUCAGCAGGGGGCAUGCUUACCGCCUUCUCCUCUGCCCACUUCACGUCUCUUGCUUCCAACUCCGGCCUAUACACCCAAACCUCUACCAUUUCUUGUCUUGCCUCUCCUCACAAUCUGAUCGUCACGAACGUUUACACUCCGACUGACCAUGCCCUAAAGCAGUCCUUUCUUCAGGAGCUCGCUAACUGUUCCCCGCCUCCCGGCACUCCCUGGCUAAUCCUUGGCGACAUUAACCUUCUUCGCCACCCCUCUGAAAAGAACACGUCUGGUUUUCGCCAAAAUGAGGCAGACAUGUUCAAUGACUUCAUACACUCGUGCGCUCUCAUUGAGCUUCCCCUCCUGGAUCGUAGCUUUACUUGGUCUAGCAAGAGAGACAAGCCAACUCUUGAAAAAAUUGACAGGGUCUUUAUUAAUACUGAUUGGGACCUCCUCUUCCCAAACACCACCUUAGCGUCCCUUACCCGCUUCGUCUCUGAUCGUGUUCCCAUUAUCAUUUUGAUCGACUCCGCUAUCCCCAGACCCUUGCUUUUCAGGUUUGAAAACAGAUGGGCCCUUAGGCCGGCUUGUCACCAAGUAAUCCAAUCUGCUUGGGACUCAGCCCAACUGCGAUCAACCCACACUCUCUCCCUGGUGGCUGCGUUUAAACACUCGCGCUUAGAUUUAAAAAAAUUGGACCCGUCUCUCAAUCCCUAUUAA
rnacentral:rRNA from 1 species